AUACUGUAUUUGACCUAAAGCAUGCUUUCUCAGCCAGCCAUUGGCCAAGGUGAGCCAACUCAUAUUUGCCUUUGAGUAGACAGACCCAGAAAGGGGAUUUCCAGGACAACUGACUUGGACCAGCUUGCCACAAGAUUUAAAAAACUCCCCCACCUUAUUGGAUGAGGCCUUGAGCCAGGACCGUUUAAAUUUUAGGUGGUUACACCCUGAGACUGCUCUAUUACAACAUGUUGAUGACCUGCUGCUGGCAGCCAGGACACAUGAGGAAUGUCAGCAGGCCACAGAGGACCUUCUUGUCACCCUGUGCCAACUGGAGCAUCAAGCUCCUGUUAAAAAGGCCCAAUUGUGCACCCAGAAAGCCAACCUCUUUAGGAUACCAGCUGGAAAAAAGGGAAGCUUAUUCUCUCCUUAAGCAGGAUAGAGGCAGU